UGGAUACACACUUCAGGAACGCGGUGCAGAAUUGGUUCAGAUCAGUCUAACGAAGAAGUUGGGAGACAGUUUCCGAGAAGGAAGAUAUGUGGCCGUGCUGUGUGAGAGUGUCGUGGGUGGCGUUUGACGACGCUCGUCAUGUACCGACCACGUGGAGACUCCAAUAAUUAAUGUUGCCUACCGCGCUUUCGAAGAAGACUUCGUCUUGAGGAGAAGUCCUUGCCGCUGCAAAUAUCCAUCUACUCUGAGAAUCCUCUGCCCUUUGUGCUUAGAGAAAGAAGGAUCAGCCCUGCACUGCGAUGUCGUCAUGGAUACUAGCAGGCUUGGGAUCGCUCGGGCAGGCCUUCAUCGGGAGCUUGAUGGGUAAAAUCAGCGACUAUGUGAUCGGAAGGGUUUUGGAGAGACUAAGCGCAUCAUCGGCAGACUCGAGAACAUGUGGAUUAAAGAUGAAGGCGAGAAAAAGCGAUUGAAGGAAUUGCUGAUGAAACUGAAGGACACUGUUUAUGACGCUGACGACUUGCUUGAUGAGAUCCAGUUCCGGGUUCUGAAGCAACAAGGAGCUCAGGGGUAUGAGGCAAGUAACCAAUCAUCUUCUUCUUCUGGUCUCCCUCCGAGUAAAAAAAGAAAAAUUUCUGAACGUGUCAGUCGCUUCUUCGGUAGAGAAGAUGAUGUGAUUAGAGUGAGGAAAAUUCAGAUGAAGUUAGAUAAAUAUACUACUGACAUCGAGCAUUUCAUCAAUUAUGAAAGUUACUGGUAUGGGUUUAGAGCGGAGGGCUCUUUGUUCACUGGUCCAAUUUGAAAGAUUAAAAAACAUUCGAGUGUUGGUAUUGUAUCACUGUGGCUUGCGAGAAUUGCUUGAGACAAUUGAUGACUUCGUACACCUCCGCUAUCUUGACAUAUCCCACAACUAUUACAUUUGGAGGGUGUCGGAGUCAUUAUGUCGUCUUUACAAUUUGCGAAUACUGAAUCUAUUUGAUUGUGAAAUACAGAGUUUCCCGGAUGACAUGAAGUACUCAAGGAUCACGGACACGCGAUUGCCCAAUUAGGCGGUCUGAAACGGGCUUCAUGGACAACUUCGAAUUACCAACCUUGAGAACGUUGAGAGUAAACAAGAAGCAAGCAAGGCUAAUCUGAACAACAAACAGUACCUUGAUGAACUGGCUUUAGAAUGGACACCGGAUGAUGGCUCCAGUUUGGAUGGUAAUGAAUUAGUUGUGUUGGAGGAGGCUCUUGAAGGUCUCCAACCACAUCAGGCUCUCAAACGUUUGAUGAUUAGAGGGUACAGUGGUGUCAGAUCACCCAGUUGGCUGCAGGCACAAUUGUUAGCGAACCUGGGAACUCUUGGAUUGAUAAACUGCAAAGCAUGGAAGGAUCUUUCAUGUAUUGGACAGCUACCGAAUCUCAAGAACCUUUACGUGGAGGGAAUGCCUGCAGUGAAACAAACAAGUCAUGAAUUAAGUACAGAGAGCAAGUUCCUGCCUAAUCUGGAAGAGCUAGUGCUGAAGGACAUGGUGGCAUUGGAGGAACUCCCGAGUCUUGGACAACUGCCGUGUCUUAAGGUUCUUCGCAUCGAGAGAAUGCCAGCAGUGACGAAGGUAGGCCACGGGUUCUUUGGUUGUAGAGAUCAAGGCACGUGUUUUCCAUGCUUGGAAGAACUCGUAUUCAGCGACAUGCCAGCAUGGGAAGAGUGGUCUUGGGCUGAUGGCCGAGAGCUGUUUCCCUGCUUGCGAAAACUACAAAUUGUACAAUGCUUGAGGCUUAAGAGGUUGCCUCCCCUCCCUCCUCCACUUGAAACAUUAAGAUUAGAUAAAGUCGGAUUGACAGAAGUGGCAGAGUUAUGGGAAGGAAUCGAUGGAAGUAGCACCAGUAUAACCGCAUGUUUUCAUAAUUUAGUCUUGAAAAGGUCGAGCUGAUGGACAUCCAAAGAGACUCCCUUGUCUUGGAUCCUUUGGUUCUAGAUGAUAGCAGAUAAAGAUUUUCUCAAUAUAUCUCUUUACUUUGUUGAGGAAAAUCUUCUAAUCUGUUGAUGGAAAUCUUAUCUCCUAACUUAUAUAAAUAGAAGAGGGACAUGUGAAUAUAAUCUUUUUUAUCUCUUUCUAUCA